rnacentral:rRNA from 1 species
CCUACGGGUGGCAGCAGUGGGGGAUAUUGCACAAUGGGGGGAACCCUGAUGCAGCGACGCCGCGUGGGUGAAGGCGCGUUUCGUCGCGUACAGCCCUAUCGGCAGGGAAGAAGGAGGACGGUACCUGACUAAGCAGCGCCGGCUAACUACGUGCCACCAGCCGCGGUACUACGUAGUGGGCAAGCGUUAUCCGGAUUUACUGGGUGUAAAGGGGGCGCCGACGGCAGCGCAAGCCAGGAGUGAAAGCCCGGGGCCCAACCCCGGGACUGCUCUUGGAACUGCGCGGCUGGAGUGCAGGAGGAGCAGGCGGAAUGCCGGGUGUAGCGGUGAAAUGCGUAGAUAUCAGGAGGAACACCGUUGGCGAAGGCGGCCUGCUGGACUGCGACUGACGUUGAGGCCCGAAAGCGUGGGGAGCGAACAGGAUUAGAUACCCGGGUAGUC